rnacentral:rRNA from 1 species
UACAGAGGGGGCAAGCGUUAUUCGGAAUUAUUGGGCGUAAAGGGCGCGUAGGCGGCUUUGCAAGUGGCGGGUGAAAUCCCUCGGCUUAACCGAGGAACUGCCUGCCAGACUGUGAGGCUUGAGACCGGGAGAGGUGAGUGGAAUUCCCAGUGUAGCGGUGAAAUGCGUAGAUAUCAGGAGGAACACCGAUUGCGAAGGCAGCUCGCUGGGACGUUACUGACGCUGAGACGCGAAAGCGUGGGGAGCAAACAGG